rnacentral:rRNA from 1 species
UACGUAGGGGGCCAGCGUUGUUCGGAAUCACUGGGCGUAAAGCGCACGUAGGCGGAUUGUUAAGUCGGGGGGUGAAAUCCUGGAGCUCAACUCCAGAACUGUCUUCGAUACUGACGAUCUCGAGUCCGGGAGAGGUGAGUGGAACUCCGAGUGUAGAGGUGAAAUUCGUAGAUAUUCGGAAGAACACCAGUGGCGAAGGCGGCUCACUGGCCCGGUACUGACGCUGAGGUGCGAAAGCGUGGGGAGCAAACAGG